rnacentral:rRNA from 1 species
AUUGAACGCUGGCGGCAGGCCUAACACAUGCAAGUCGGGCGGUAGAGAGAAGCUUGCUUCUCUUGAGAGCGGCGGACGGGUGAGUAAUGCCUAGGAAUCUGCCUGGUAGUGGGGGAUAACGUUCGGAAACGGACGCUAAUACCGCAUACGUCCUACGGGAGAAAGCAGGGGACCUUCGGGCCUUGCGCUAUCAGAUGAGCCUAGGUCGGAUUAGCUAGUUGGUGAGGUAAUGGCUCACCAAGGCGACGAUCCGUAACUGGUCUGAGAGGAUGAUCAGUCACACUGGAACUGAGACACGGUCCAGACUCCUACGGGAGGCAGCAGUGGGGAAUAUUGGACAAUGGGCGAAAGCCUGAUCCAGCCAUGCCGCGUGUGUGAAGAAGGUCUUCGGAUUGUAAAGCACUUUAAGUUGGGAGGAAGGGUUGUAGAUUAAUACUCUGCAAUUUUGACGUUACCGACAGAAUAAGCACCGGCUAACUCUGUGCCAGCAGCCGCGGUAAUACAGAGGGUGCAAGCGUUAAUCGGAAUUACUGGGCGUAAAGCGCGCGUAGGUGGUUUGUUAAGUUGGAUGUGGAAUCCCCGGGCUCAACCUGGGAACUGCAUUCAAACUGACUGACUAGAGUAUGGUAGAGGGUGGUGGAAUUUUCUGUGUAGCGGGAUAUGAGUAUAUAUAAGAAGGAACACUGCGUGGCGGACU